CCCGCUUGACCUCUCACGCAAUUUCCCUUCACCCAUCUCCUCCUCCCUCCGCAGAUGACAACUCCUCCUCCCUCACAUUCGAGACUGUUGCCACUCUCACCAUCACCGGUCCGCCAUCACCGCUCUCACCGUACCGCUCCGCUGUCGUCGCUCUGCUCCUCCGCCGGUUCGCCAACGCCAUAGUCGCCGCUCAAGUUGUUGACCAUGAGACCAAGAUGAAAAGGAAAAGGUUCGGCACAACUUGCCCUUGUUGAUCCCAUGUCCAAAAUUGUUUCAAAGUUGCAAAGCUGCUUGCAGAAUCCAAAAGUUGUGCAUCACUGAGCAAUGAAGUUGUUCUUUGUGAAGCCGAACCAGAACAGGCAGAACUGCUAAACCGAGCGGCAUGCUUUGGCCGUUCAGUGGCAACAGUUACAAAAGGCAGGCAGUGGUUUCAGUUGAGACUAGAAGAGGCUUUCUAUCUGAGUAAUGCACUCAACUGUCUUACAGUUGUCGGAGAAGAUGGAAGUCCUAAAGAUCCUCAAAAUCUUGGAAAAUGUAUGAAAGAUAAGCAGAGCAUGUUUCCAAUGAUGUACAAGGCAUAUUCACAUCUCAGGAUGUUUCCAAUGAUUUUCAUUUUCGUGAUCUCCCACUUCAUUAGUUAUCAACAUUGUAAACCUAUGUCCAGAAGAUCUCCAAUCUUUUAAAUUCAUCUAAUUGGAAAUCACACCGUGGAAUUCAUUUCCUUGCA